GGAUGUGAGGGUGAUCUGGCUGCGACAUCUGUUGCCCUAUUGAUUGCUAGGGUUGAUUUGGCUGAUUUGGCCUCCCUCACUGCUCCAUGUGCAUCCCUCCCGAAGCUGUGCGCUGGGUUGAAGAGGACAACCUUCUCCGAUAGAGGAGAGGACCAUUCUUCGGUCAAGGGUAUAGGAGUAGUUACACUCCCCUGCUAGAACCUCCAAACAAGCUCUCAAGAAAUCCUGGACUUGAUUUUUAAGGAGACUCAUGAAGCUAGGAAGGCAAGGCAAAGACUUAACCAUCUGGUAUUGUCUAGGAUACCUAUAGAU
rnacentral:snRNA from 1 species